rnacentral:tRNA from 1 species
GCCUGGGUAGCUCAGUCAGUUGAGCAUCUGACUUUAGCUCAGGCCAUGAUCUCACAGCUCACAAGUUCAAGUCCCGCCUCAGGCU